CCCUGUGUCACGACUGAUGACCGAUGCCGGAGGGAGGAUCCAUGGGGACCGCGCCUAGGUUCAGGGCGGGUCUGCCUCACAUGGGGUCGAGGCGCCCGACGAGGUUGUCUUCUGGCGAUUCCACGAUGUCGUGCCCGAGCCAGCGGAUCAGCCGCUGUCAAUUUGACUCUGUUGAUUCCGUAAUUGAAUCACGAUUACAAGAGGCCAUUAAUGGCCAUGGAUGUGAGAGGCCGACGGAUAAUUGCAGGUUCUCUGAUCUCGAUCGAUUGGAUCUCGGUUUCACGGUUGGCUGAUUCUGCUGCAUUGAAAGGCGAGGCACUGCUUUCACCAUAAUGAUUUCUUGCAUGAGAAUAAUACAUGCUUAAAUGCAGCAUCUUCCAAUUGUUCAAAGUGCUAAUAGUUACAACCUGAGAUUACUUGCUCGGGUCCUUCUUUCACAAAGUACAGAGAUGACUUCAGAGUAACCAUGUUCUUUUUAGCUUUUCUAUUCUACAUAAACAACUUGAGGACGGUAUGGAUCAGGGUCUUCUGUUUGAAGGUAUUUUCCUUCACAUGUUUCAAUUUUGAAGCCCUAUUUGGGCAUGCCUCACUUUCUGGGAAUGCAAUGGUAAAGUUAUGGUAUUUUUCUAAGUGUAGUUAUAGUGUGAGAUUAUUUGUUUGGGUUCCAAAAUCUUGCACGAAGUGUAGAGUUGGCUUAGAUUAACCAUGUUCUUUUGAGCUUUUCUAUUCUAAAUAAACGACAUGAGGACGGUGAGGAUCAAUUCAUAUUUGUCCUGCUUUUGAAGUCCCUCUGUAUUGGGGAAUGCCUUGCUUUCUAGGAAUGCAAAGGUGAAGGUAGACCACUUGUAUUAAGCAAUCACAACAGUAUACAAUCAUCAGGAUUCAACUCAAUGACACCUGGGGGAUCAGAGCACAAUCAACUUAUAUUUCUACUUUCUAAGCAAGCAGAGUUUGCCAGAAAGUUGCUAACUUUAUUUUGGGAGCGCCUAACAUGAGUAAUACUAAUUAUACGAAGACUCAAGAGGUGCUU